UACGUAGGGUGCGAGCGUUAAUCGGAAUUACUGGGCGUAAAGCGCGCGUAGGCGGCCACUUAAGUCGGAUGUGAAAGCCCCUGGCUCAACUGGGGAAGUGCACCCGAAACUGAAUGGCUUGAAUGCAAAAGAGGGUCGCGGAAUUCCCGGUGUAGAGGUGAAAUUCGUAGAUAUCGGGAGGAACACCGGUGGCGAAGGCGGCGACCUGGGUUGACAUUGACGCUGAGGCGCGAAAGCGUGGGGAGCAAACAGG
rnacentral:rRNA from 1 species